GUGGGGAAUCUUAGACAAUGGGCGCAAGCCUGAUCUAGCCAUGCCGCGUGAGCGAUGAAGGCCUUAGGGUUGUAAAGCUCUUUCGUGGGGGAAGAUAAUGACUGUACCCCAAGAAGAAGCCCCGGCUAACUCCGUGCCAGCAGCCGCGGUAAUACGGAGGGGGCUAGCGUUGUUCGGAAUUACUGGGCGUAAAGCGCACGUAGGCGGACUGGAAAGUCAGGGGUGAAAUCCCGGGGCUCAACCCCGGAACUGCCUUUGAAACUCCCAGUCUUGAGUUCGAGAGAGGUGAGUGGAAUUCCGAGUGUAGAGGUGAAAUUCGUAGAUAUUCGGAGGAACACCAGUGGCGAAGGCGACUCACUGGCUCGAUACUGACGCUGAGGUGCGAAAGCGUGGGGAGCAAACAGGAUUAGAUACCCCUGUAGUCC
rnacentral:rRNA from 1 species